rnacentral:rRNA from 1 species
CGAGCCUUAGUGGGGGAUAUCUCGGGAAUUGAGGAUAAUACCCCAUAGAUCAUGGCAUCUGGAAUGAGUCAUGGUUGAAAGUUCCGGCGCUUAAGGAUCGCUCUGCGGCCUAUCAGGUAGUAGUGGGUGUAAGGUACCCCCUAGCCUACGACGGGUAUGGGCCUUGAGAGAGGGAGCCCAGAGUUGGAUUCUGAGACACGAAUCCAGGCCCUACGGGGCGCAGCAGUCGCGAAAACUUCACACUGGGGGGAACCCCGAUGAGGGAAAUCCUAGUGCUAGGACAUUUGUUCUAGCUUUUCUCAAGCGUAGAUAACUUGAGGAAUAAGGGCUGGGUAAGACGGGUGCCAGCCGCCGCGGUAAUACCUGCGGCCCAAGUGGUGGUCGAUUUUAUGGAGGCUAAAACGUGCGUAACAGCUAUGAUAAAUCUUUGCUUAAAUCGGGGAGGGUACCUCUCCCACACCCAAAAAACUGACACCCGGGGGACCGGGCCCACGCUAGAGGGAAUUUAAGAGUUUUUCCCCGGAUCUGGAAGGCCCCAAAAGGGCCCCCCAAAAAAAAUUGGGGGGGUUUAACCCCGGGAAAAAGGGGGGGUAUAAAAUCCCGGUGUUUAAAGAUAGAAGCCCUUUCGCACGGGGGGGCUUUCUGGAUAUAAGGGUUUUCCCCCCCACCCCCAGAAAUCCCCGUGCCUCUCCCGGGGCCAGAUUGGAGAGUCUCUAGAAGAGGGAGAGUGAGACUCCCCAUAUCCAGAGUUACACACGGGUCAACAGCGUUAUCACAAUAAGCCCACCUCUGUGU